rnacentral:rRNA from 1 species
UACAGAGGUCCCAAGCGUUGUUCGGAUUCACUGGGCGUAAAGGGUGCGUAGGUGGUCGGGUAAGUCUGAUGUGAAAUCUCCGAGCUUAACUCGGAAACUGCAUCGGAUACUAUUCGGCUUGAGGGUUGGAGGGGGGACUGGAAUUCUCGGUGUAGCAGUGAAAUGCGUAGAUAUCGAGAGGAACACCAGUGGCGAAGGCGGGUCCCUGGGCCGAUACUGACGCUGAGGAGCGAAAGCGUGGGGAGCGAACAGG